CAUCAGUCUCCGUCUACGCUUCUCUGAAAAAAAAAAAUCUCAGAUCCCGCCUGAACCCUAGCCAGCGCGGCGGCCGGGGAUGGUGGCGAAGAAGCCGGCCGCGGCUGCGGCAGCCGGCCCGGAGGCGGAGGAGCGGAGGCGCCUGCGGUCGCUGGCCUUCUCCAAGGGCCUGCUGCAGCGCGGCGAGCCGGCGGCGCCGCGGGCGGCGCUGCCGCCGUCCGGCGCCGUGGCGCGGCUGCAGGGGCGCGACAUCGUGCGGCCGCGGGGCCAGCGCAGAGGCCGCUUCCUAUUCUCCUUCCCCGGCCUCCUCGCGCCCGCCGCCGCCGGCGGCCGCGUCGGGGAGCUCGCCGACCUCGGCACCAAGAACCCCGUCCUCUACCUCGAGUUCCCGCAGGGGAGGAUGAAGCUGCUGGGCACGCACGUGUACCCCAAGAACAAGUACCUCACGCUGCAGAUGACCAGAUCCGCCAAGGGCGUCGCCUGCGAGGACGUCUUCGAGAGCAUGAUUGUGUUUUCCGAAGCCUGGUGGGUCGGGACCAAGGAGGAGAACCCCGACGAGCUCAAACUCGAGUUUCCGAAAGAGAUGCAGAAUGCUGCGGAAGAUGUUGAUUUUAAAGGCGGGGCAGGUGCUGCCAGUGGCGAGCUAGUUACAGUAAAUAAACCCAGAAAGCAGGCCGCUGUGCCCCGCACAGCAGAGCCCCGCACACCAGAGCCCCACACACCAGAGUAUGAAUCCGAUGCCGAUUCAGAGGAUUCAGAUGUUAAGGAUGAGAUUGGCACGCAGACUACGAGUGAUACACCUGUUAGGAAAUCUGCCAGAACUGCUGGGAAGACCUUCAAGUUCGCAGAGCUCGCUGGAGGAGAUUCGGCUGAAAGUGACACUGAGAUUGAGUUUGCUGAGGACUUGGAUGAGAAGAUGAAGACUGAAGAAAUUAAGGAAGAAAUCCCAGGUGAAGACAUUAAGGAGGAAAUCCCAAGUGAAGACAUUAAACCUGAAGAUUCUCCAGCAGAGUCUCUUUCUAUCAAGAAGCAACCACUUGUUCAGGCUAAUUUGUCUACCAUGUUUAAAAAAGCAGAAGAAAAAAAGAGACCUACAACUACAAGAAGUCCUAAAGGAUCUCCAGCUACAAAAGGUCCUGCUGCUAAGAAGCCGCGAGCAACUCCAACGAAAAAACAGUCACCAGCGAAGAAGGAAGCAAGUGGAUCUCAGAAAAAGCAAAAAGCAAAGGUAGAAGAAGAUGAAAUUGAAGAGCUCUCGGGUGAUCCCUCUCAGGAUGAUGAUGCAGCUCCUGCUAAGAAGCAGCGAGGAACCCCAAAGGGAAAACAGUCAGCAGCAAAGAAGGAAGCAAGCGGAUCCAGGAAAAAGAAAAAGGCGAAGGUAGACGAGGAGCUCUCUGAUGAAUCCUAUCAGGACGACGACAUGGGCGAGGAGGAGGACGAUGAUAGCGAUGACGACUGGGCCGGGUAAGGAGUGCUCAGAUCUGACAUGCCGUGGAAAUGGUGGAUCGGGGAUGAGCGACCCUCCCAUCCUCCCUGGCGUGUGUAGUAGAGCAGCGUGCAUAGAGUGAGUGUGUUUGCUCUUUUUAGCUUAGCAGUGUGAAAAAAUGUUUGUUUGUUGAUGUACAAAUACUAGAGCAUCUCACUCCAUGUGUACCGCAGGAAUCCGAUCCCGGCCCACGCGGGUUGUAAUACGAGUAGAAAUUGCGAGAUAUAAUUCGCUAGACAUGUUUGUUUGUUGUAAUAACAGGAGCAGAAAUCGUUGCGAGGUUGUGCUGAUAAAUUCAAGGUCCAUAAGCUUAUGCUAGGCUCUGCUUGGAUGGCAAGAGCAGGUGGCCAUGGAGGAAUAACUUGCCAGA
rnacentral:rRNA from 1 species